rnacentral:rRNA from 1 species
GACGAACGCUGGCGGCGUGCUUAACACAUGCAAGUCGAACGGAAAGGCCCUGCUUUUGUGGGGUGCUCGAGUGGCGAACGGGUGAGUAACACGUGAGUAACCUGCCCUUGACUUUGGGAUAACUUCAGGAAACUGGGGCUAAUACCGGAUAGGAGCUCCUGCUGCAUGGUGGGGGUUGGAAAGUUUCGGCGGUUGGGGAUGGACUCGCGGCUUAUCAGCUUGUUGGUGGGGUAGUGGCUUACCAAGGCUUUGACGGGUAGCCGGCCUGAGAGGGUGACCGGCCCAAAGGGGAAUGGGGAUACGGCCCGCACCACAAGGGGGGGCAGAGGGGGGGAUUUGUGCAAAGGGGGGGGAAGCCUGAGGAAGAACCGCCGGGGGGGGGGUGAGGGCCUUGGGGUGGAAAACCGUUUCCCCUGGGAAGGAGGGGGGGGUGGCGAUAAGGGGAAAAGAAGCCCCGGCUAACUACGU